GUGCUGGCUUCAGCAGCACAUACACUAAAAUUGGAACGAUACAGAGAAGAUUAGCACAGCCCCUGCACAAGGAUGACAUGCAGAUUCAUAAAGUGUUCCAUAUUUUU
rnacentral:snRNA from 1 species